CCUACGGGAGGCAGCAGUGAGGAAUAUUGGUCAAUGGCCGGGAGGCUGAACCAGCCAAGUCGCGUGAGGGAAGACGGCCCUACGGGUUGUAAACCUCUUUUGUCAGGGAGCAAGGUGCAGGUCGGGACCUGCUGUGAGAGUACCUGAAGAAAAAGCAUCGGCUAACUCCGUGCCAGCAGCCGCGGUAAUACGGAGGAUGCGAGCGUUAUCCGGAUUUAUUGGGUUUAAAGGGUGCGCAGGCGGAGGCACAAGUCAGCGGUAAAAUCGCGGGGCUCAACCACGCUCCGCCGUUGAAACUGUGUGCCUUGAGUGCGCGAAGGGUAGGCGGAAUGCGUGGUGUAGCGGUGAAAUGCAUAGAUAUCACGCAGAACUCCGAUCGCGAAGGCAGCCUACCGGCGUGCAACUGACGCUCAUGCACGAAAGCGUGGGUAUCGAACAGGAUUAGAUACCCCAGUAGUC
rnacentral:rRNA from 1 species